rnacentral:lncRNA from 1 species
AAAAAAGAAGAAGCUUCCAAUCUCAUUUUAUCUCCACUACUUUCUACACCAAAAUUGGGUCCCACAACCCGGUUCUUUGUCUAGAGGAUAGCAGUUGAGUACUAGUGGUGGUCUCGGGUAGAAUUGGUAAGAAGACAUCAAACCUUUUGUAAGCUUCAAAGGUAAUACUUCUUAAAACCCUAAUUUGAUUAGUUUAUGGUUACAUGUUAAUUGUGGCAAUUAGGGUAGAAAUUCGAUUCUUUUUCCGCUGUGCAUGACUUAGUUCUAUCAUGUGAUACCAAACUCCCACUUGGACUAAAAUUCCUAGUGGUAUGAGAGAUGUGGUGUGAGAGAAUAUAUAUGAAACUAGGGCACAUGGCCAAUAAGUCUCCCACUUGUCCUAGUUUACAAACAUCGUACACCUAAACUGUGUAGGUGACCCUCAAACACUUUAGCCAUGAGGGCUUUUGUAAAAUGAUGAGCUUCCAUUGUGGAAUCAGCUAUACAAGUUUGCUUUAUGCUUCUCCAAACUACUGCUCCUCCAUUUAGAGUAAAUACUGAUCCUGAUGUAGACUUUCUAACAUCUUUAUCAGUUUGGAAAUCUGAAUCAGUGUAUCCAGUAAGGAUCAGAUCCUUUGUGUACAUGAGCAUGUAGAAUGUUUUUAACGGCUGUCCAGUGAUCACGUCCAUGAUUGGAUUGAUACCUACUGACCAUCCCUACUGAGUAGCAAAUGUCAGGUCUAGUACAUAACAUUGCAUACAUUAAACUUCCAACAGCGGAAGCAUAGGGAAUAUUUCUCAUAUCCUCAACUUCUUGAGGUGUCUUAGGACAUUGUUCCUUUGACAAAUGAAUUCCAUAUCUGUACGGCAGCAGACCCUUUUUGGAAUUCUGCAUUUUAUAUCUAGACAACAUUUUGUCUAUGUAAGAUGCUUGAGACAUGGCUAGUGUUUUGUUCUUACGGUUUCGAACAAUUUGGAUUCCGAGAACGUAUUGUGCAUCUCCCAGAUCUUUCAUUUGAAAUUGCAUAGCUAGCCAUUUCUUGAUAUCAGGAAGAUAUCCUAGUCAUUUCCAAUAAGUAGAAUAUCAUCUACAUAUAAGACUAAAAAAUGCUAUAAUGGAAUUGACGACCUUUUGUAAACACAAGGCUCGUCAACAUUUUGUUCAAAGCCAUAAGAUUUUGAUCGCAAUAUCAAAUCUUAUAUUCCAGGAUCUAGAAGCUUGUUUUAAUCCAUAAAUGGAUUUUUUAAGCUUACAAACCUUUUGUUCUUGAUCUUGUUUUAUAAACCCCUCUGGUUGAGACAUAUAGAUGCUCUCUUCAAGAUUACCGUUCAAAAAAGCUGUCUUGACAUCCAUCUGCCAAAUUUCAUAAUCAUAAAAAGUGGCGAUGGAUAAGAGUAUUCUAAUUGACUUUAACAUGGCAACGGGAGAGAAAGUUUCCUCUAGUCUACUCCCUCUCUCUAGGUAUAACCCUUUGCCACAAGUCGAGCCUUAAAAGUCUGUACUUUACCGGCAUGGUCUCGUUUUCUCUUGUAGAUCCAUUUACAACCAAUAGGUUUUACGUCAUUUGGUUGAUCUACUAGAAUCUAGAAAGAAUUAAAGUACAUAGACUCCAUUUCGAGGUCCAUGGCUUUGAUCCAUUGGUCAUGAUCUACAUCUUUCAUUGCCUGUUUAUAGGUUAAUGGAUCCUCUAUGCCAUCGUCAGGUAUGACGACUUGAGUUUCAAUUAAACCCAAAUAGCGAUCAGGCUGAUGAACAACCCUCCCACUACGUCGAGGCUCUCUCAACUGUUGAGAAGGAUGUGAUUGACCAGAUUUCCUAGUCUUAUCAACUACUUUAGUGGAUGAACUAGGUUUUAUCUAUAGCACUUUUGGAAAUUUCUUUAAAUACUAGUUUACUACGAGGUUGAUGAUCCCUGAUGUGGUAUUUUAUUUUCUUGAGGAUCAUAAAACAAACCACCUCUUGAUUCUUUUGGAUAACCUAUAAAAAAGCAUAAUUUUGAACGAUGUUCCAAUUUCUUUGGAUUUUGUACCAACACAUGUGCUGGACAACCCCAAAUUUUAAAAUGACGUAAACUGCCUUUACGCCCUUUCCAUAGCUCAUAAGGUGUUUCUGAAACACUUUUAGAGGGAACAUUAUUCAAAAUAUAAGCAGCUGUUUCUAAAGCAUAUCCCCAAAAAGAAUCUGACAUCUGAGAAAAACUCAUCAUAGAGCGAACCAUGUCUAACAAGGUCCAGUUUCUUCUUUCUGAUACACCGUUCUGUUGAGGUGUACUAGGUGCAGAGAGUUGUGACUGGAUUCCAUUUUCUAUUAAAUAGUCUCGGAAUCGUAAGUCCAUAUACUCUCCACCUCGAUCUGAUCGAAGUAUUUUUAUUGUUUUACCUAAUUCGUUUUCUACUUCAGCCUUAUAUUCUUUGAACUUUUCAAGACUAUUAGACUUAUGAUGUAUUAGGUAAAUAUGACCAUACCUUGAAUAAUCAUCAAUGAAUAUGAUGUAUUAGGUAAAUAUGACCAUACCUUGAAUAAUCAUCAAUGAAGCUAAUGAAAUAUUCAUAUCCACCUCGAGUUUUGACAUUCAUUGGUCCACAAAGGUCCGAAUGUACGAGCUCUAAGGGUCCUUUGGCUCUUAGACCUUUUCCAGUAAAAGAUCUCUUGGUCAUUUUUCCUUCAAGACAAGAUUCACAAGGAGGUAAAGAGUUAUCUUCUAACGGACUUAGAAGCCCACUUUUAACCAAUCUCCCAAUCCUAUUGAGAUUUAUGUGACCAAGUCUUAAGUGCCAUAAAUAGGCAUUUAGAAGAAACUUUUUGUCUUUUAUUCUGAGUGUCAGCUAUUCUGAAUAUUUCAGUAUUUAAGACAAAAUUUGCUCUAGUUGGUCUUAACUUAUAUAAGUUGUCUUCAAGUAUAGCAGAACAAACUAGAAUACCUUUAUAGAAAAUGAACGCUUCAUUAAUUUCAAAAGAUAUUCUAUACAUUUGUUCCAAAAUACAAGAGAUAGAUAUUAAAUUUCUUUUCAUUUGAGGUACAUAUAAGACAUUCUUAAGUAUGACAUAUCUAUCUCUAAAAAACAACUUUAAAUCUCCCACUGCUGAAGUUGAGACCAUCUCUCCUGUUCCAACCUUGAGAGUGAUCUCGCCUUCUGAAAGCUUUUUCAAGAACUAUUUUCCUGAAAUGAGAAGCAAAUAUGGUUAGUGGCUCCUGAAUCUAGUAUCCAGGUAAAUUUUCAUAUUCCACUAAACAUGUUUCUACAACUAGUAAAUCAUAUUUACCUUGUGUUUCCUUCUCUGCCUUUUUUUCUGCAAGGUAUUUUGGGCAGUUUCUUAACCAGUGCCCGUUUUGGCCACAAUGGUAACACUUACCUUUUUCUGCAUCUUUCUUACCCUUGUUCUGUUUGGGAGUCUUUCCCUUUCCCUUCUUUUUUAUUUGAGCAUUAGGUUUUGAGGGUCCAGCUUUGGUUUUAGAGGACGAUCCUCUUAUAAAUUUUCUUUUUGUGGUAGCAACAUUUGCUUCCACUUGUUUUCCUUUACCCAUAGUUAGGUUUUGGAAUCGCUGGAGUUCAUUCAGAAGGGUUGUCAAGUUAAAUUCUAUCUUGUUCAAAGACGCAUUCGUUUGGAAUGGAAUGAAGCUCUUCGGAAGAGACUCUAAGAUAAAACUAACUUGAUUAACCUCUUCGAUGGGACCACCAUUCACUUCAGCGAUGUUGAAGUGCAUCAUCAUGUCCAGAACAUGUUCUCUAACAGAGGUCCCUUCCUUCAUACGCUUAGUGUAAAUGUAUUUGACUGCCUCGUGUCUUAAGGACCAUUCUGGUUGCCCAAACAUUCCCCUUAAUGAAUCCAUAAUCUCUUUAGCCGUGGCUAAGGAUUCAUGUUUCUUUGCCAAUACAUCAGACAUGCUGGCAAGAAUGUAAACACGGGCUUUUUCAUUAGCUUUUAUCCAUCGAUCAUAUGCAUCCCGACUAGUUCGGUUAGCAUUAGAGGCAGGGUUUUGAGGACAUUCCUCAGUUAAGACAAAUCUUAAAUCGUCAACCACUAGUAUUGUGUUAAGAUUUGAUUUCCAAGCCGCAUAAUUAUCGCCAUUAAGUUUUUCGGAAGCUAAAAGUUGAACUAUUGAGCUAUUCAUGCUGAAAAACAAACAUAUUCUUUUUAGGAAAAAACUAUAAUCAUAAAAAAUAUCCAAUCUAAUUUAGCAAUUACUAAUAAUGUACCCUUUCAUUAUUUGUAUUUUGCAACAAUAUUUCAAAGGUUUAGAACAACCUUCUCCGAAGGGUAGUUGAUUAUUCCUCCUUUGAACCAAGACAAUCUUGACUAGAUGCUAUCUCAAGAAUAACUCUUUAUUCUUUAUAGCACUUAGUUAUCGCUACUUUAGUCAAGAAUAUACUAACAACUUAGUAAUUCUUGUAAGUGUUACCCACCAUUUUCAGAUUUUAUAGAUUAGAAUCAUUUAUGAAAACUAAUCUAAGAAAUCCUAUCCAGUUUUGGAGUUCGCGGUGUUCCGAAUCCUAUAAUACAACCCUCCGAAGGGAACGUCGCUCCAGGGCAGACAAGCAGGCAUAUUAUAGAAAUCUCACGGUGCGACCUAAUGGAAGAGACCGUGGGAUGUGCUGCCACAAAUCCCUCACCCACUUACUAUGAACUACUUCCCCUAUUCACCUUGAUUUUGAUCCAUGCAAACACUCUCCGAAGGGAGGCCGCUCCUAUGCACGGCACAAAGCCCUGCAUGGACCUCACGGUGUGAACUCUUAGGGACACUAGAGCUAAAAUACAUUAUUUUUCUCUAGUUGAAGUGUUCUAAAAGAAAAAAAUAGGGUAAUCCAAACUUCAAGAUUUAUAUUUAGGCUAACUUAAACAAAUCUUAAGUCUAGAUAAAACAUCCAAGUAUAACCAUUAUACAGGAUUUUAACCUAUGAUGUCUAGGUGAAAAACCAUUUUUAUUACCUCACACCUCUCACGAAUGCUCAUAAAACUAGGUUAACUAGGCUCAAGAACUGAUUACGAUCUCCAGGUAGGAGGUGUUCCGUAAACCGUCAACUUAAGAACCUCCAACCUUAGUCAUCUUAUCUGACUUGUUGACAAGAUUGAACCAGGUGAGCCUUUUGUAACCAGUUUUACAAGAUAUCGACCUAUUUCUAUGAAAAAUGGAAGAUAUGUUUAACCUAAGUGAGCAUGCAUUUAAUCUUUGUUAUUGAUUUUAAAAGUCUAAUUUAUUUUAUAACACUUAUAAAAACUUUUAAACUUAAUCAAUCAUUUUAUCAAUAUAUAAUAAAAACAAUCAAUUAAUAUGGAUUUUAAUUUAUUUAACUUUAAUUAAAUCAUAUUUAAUUAAAUUAAAUCAAACAAUAAUUAAUUAAUUUGAUUAAAUCAUAUUUAAUCAAGAAUAACUUAAUUAAUUAAAUAAUUAAUUAAUCAUAUUAAUUUCCAUAUUAAUCAAUUAACAUGCAUACAAUACAAUAUAACCUUUAUAUCAUACAUUUUAAUGCAUGAACAUGUUAACCUAUGGUGGGAUUUUAAAUCUAUAUGACAUUCAAAAUGCACAUACAAAUUUAAAGUAAUUUAAUCAUACAUCACAUGCAUAAAUAAAAAAAACACCCUAAAAUGGACUGAUUUUUGGCUCCUAAAUUAAGCUAAGUGCUAAAUUAUUACAUAAUUAAUUUGGUGUAGUACAGAACCACUCCCAAAAAUUUCGAACCGGCUAAAAAACCAACCGAAACCGCUUGAACCGGCCCAAAAACCAAAUUUAUUGGCUUGAACCGGCCCAGGCGCACACGGGUCGUGCGAAGGCAGGCGCGCGGGCGAAGGCGGGCGCGCGGCGCAUGCGGGCGCGCGCGGACACAUGCGGGCGCGGGCGCAGGAGGGCGCGCGGGCGCAGGAGGGCGCGCGGGCGCAGGAGGGCGCGCGGGCGCAGGAGGGCGCGCGGGCGCAGGAGGCGCGCGCGGGCGCGCAGGAGGGCGCGCGGCGCGCGCGGACGCAGGAGGGCGCGCGGGCGCAGGAGGCGCGCGGCGCGGCGCCGGCGCGGCGGCGCAGGAGGGCGCGCGGGCAUGCGGGCGCGUGCGGGUCGCGAAGCGGGUCAAAACCGGGUUUUCGGGUCUGUGACCUUCUUUUCUUCAUUUUUUUCAAUUCUCUCACCCGGUUGAACCAAUUACAGCCUAGCUUCAACUCUAAUGACUUUUUUUAUUUUUUAAAAAAUUACAAACACUUUGCAACAAUAAAAAUAAGCCAUUAACAAGGCUAAUUACAAUAAUUAGAACAAAAACACUUAAUCUAGAGCCAAAAUCAUAAUAUAUCCAUUUUAGUUCAAACCAAAAUUUAUCUAAUAAAUAUGAACCCACCACAUGCAAUUGGGUAAAAAUGAAGCAUGCUCUGAUACCACAUGAUAGAACUAAGUCAUGCACAGCGGAAAAAGAAUCGAAUUUCUACCCUAAUUGCCACAAUUAACAUGUAACCAUAAACUAAUCAAAUUAGGGUUUUAAGAAGUAUUACCUUUGAAGCUUUCAAAAGGUUUGAUGUCUUCUUACCAAUUCUACCCGAGACCACCACUAGUACUCAACUGCUAUCCUCUAGACAAAGAACCGGGUUGUGGGACCCAAUUUUGGUGUAGAAAGUAGUGGAGAUAAAAUGAGAUUGGAAGCUUUCUUUUUU